GCUGACGCAUGUAAUCCAACUACUUGGAAGCCUUUUUCAGUGGAUGGUUUGAAAUCGAGCAUUCACGUCAAGAGCGGCGUCAGUAUGGCACUGUGGAGCAGUUGUCAGUUACCAGAUUGGUCAAACAUGGGCGAAACUGCCCAACGCGGAAACGCAGCAGGCGAAAGUCCCCGCGUCGUUGCACUGGUGGGAUAUAGCGCUUGCGAGUGAAUGGUGCUGCUCAGCCCGGUCAAUACAGUCAGACCUGUUCCUUU
rnacentral:SRP_RNA from 1 species